rnacentral:pre_miRNA from 1 species
UAAGUACUUCCUCCGUCCGGAAAUACUUGUCAUCAAAAUGGAUAAAAGGGGAUGCAUCUAGACGUAUUUUAGUUCUAGAUACAUCUCUUUUUAUCCAUUUUGAUGACAAGUAUUUUUGGACGGAGGGAGUAGAAC